rnacentral:tRNA from 1 species
GCGCCUGUAGUUCAGUGGUGGAACGCUGUCCUGAUAAGACAGAGGACCUUGGUUCGAUUCCAAGCAGGCGCA